UACGAGGGAUGCAAGCGUUAUCCGGAAUUAUUGGGCGUAAAGCGUUUGUAGGCGGGCGAGUGUGUUUAAUGUUAAAUCUUAAAGCUCAACUUUGAAAUUGCGUUAAAAACUGCUUGUCUUGAGCAUGGUAGGGGUAAAGGGAAUUCCCAGUGUAGCGGUGAAAUGCGUAGAUAUUGGGAAGAACACUAAACAGCGAAGGCACUUUACUAGGCUAAUACUGACGCUGAGAAACGAAAGGUAAGGUAGCGAAACGGAUUAGAUACCCGUGUAGUCUUACCCGUAAACUAUGGACACUAAACGGUAAAUUUUUAAUUUACUGUUAUAGCUAACGCGUUAAGUGUCCCGCCUGGGGAGUAUGCUUGCAAAAGUGAAACUCAAAGGAAUUGACGGGGGCCCGCACAAGCGGUGGAGCAUGUGGUUUAAUUCGACGGUACACGAAGAACCUUACCAGGAUUUGACAUGCUAGAUAGUUGCUUGAAAGAGUAACGUGCCGUAAGGAAUCUAGACACAGGUGGUGCAUGGCUGUCGUCAGUUCGUGUUGUGAAAUGUUGGGUUAAGUCCCGCAACGAACGCAACCCUUGUCUUUAGUUAUUUUCUAAAGAGACUGCCUGUAAUAAACAGGAGGAAGGUAAGGAUGAGGUCAAGUCAUCAUGCCCCUUAUGUCCUGGGCUACACACGUGCUACAAUGGGAAAGACAAUGAGCUGCAAAUCUGUAAAUUUAAGCAAAUCUCUUAAACUUUCUCGUAGUUCGGAUUGUGGGCUGCAACUCGCCCACAUGAAGUUGGAAUCGCUAGUAAUCGCCAGUCAGCUAUAUGGCGGUGAAUCCGUUCCCGGGCCU
rnacentral:rRNA from 1 species